GGUUAAGCGACUAAGCGUACACGGUGGAUGCCCUGGCAGUCAGAGGCGAUGAAGGACGUGCUAAUCUGCGAUAAGCGUCGGUAAGGUGAUAUGAACCGUUAUAACCGGCGAUUUCCGAAUGGGGAAACCCAGUGUGUUUCGACACACUAUCAUUAACUGAAUCCAUAGGUUAAUGAGGCGAACCGGGGGAACUGAAACAUCUAAGUACCCCGAGGAAAAGAAAUCAACCGAGAUUCCCCCAGUAGCGGCGAGCGAACGGGGAGCAGCCCAGAGCCUGAAUCAGUGUGUGUGUUAGUGGAAGCGUCUGGAAAGGCGCGCGAUACAGGGUGACAGCCCCGUACACAAAAAUGCACAUGCUGUGAGCUCGAUGAGUAGGGCGGGACACGUGGUAUCCUGUCUGAAUAUGGGGGGACCAUCCUCCAAGGCUAAAUACUCCUGACUGACCGAUAGUGAACCAGUACCGUGAGGGAAAGGCGAAAAGAACCCCGGCGAGGGGAGUGAAAAAGAACCUGAAACCGUGUACGUACAAGCAGUGGGAGCACGCUUAGGCGUGUGACUGCGUACCUUUUGUAUAAUGGGUCAGCGACUUAUAUUCUGUAGCAAGGUUAACCGAAUAGGGGAGCCGAAGGGAAACCGAGUCUUAACUGGGCGUUAAGUUGCAGGGUAUAGACCCGAAACCCGGUGAUCUAGCCAUGGGCAGGUUGAAGGUUGGGUAACACUAACUGGAGGACCGAACCGACUAAUGUUGAAAAAUUAGCGGAUGACUUGUGGCUGGGGGUGAAAGGCCAAUCAAACCGGGAGAUAGCUGGUUCUCCCCGAAAGCUAUUUAGGUAGCGCCUCGUGAAUUCAUCUCCGGGGGUAGAGCACUGUUUCGGCAAGGGGGUCAUCCCGACUUACCAACCCGAUGCAAACUGCGAAUACCGGAGAAUGUUAUCACGGGAGACACACGGCGGGUGCUAACGUCCGUCGUGAAGAGGGAAACAACCCAGACCGCCAGCUAAGGUCCCAAAGUCAUGGUUAAGUGGGAAACGAUGUGGGAAGGCCCAGACAGCCAGGAUGUUGGCUUAGAAGCAGCCAUCAUUUAAAGAAAGCGUAAUAGCUCACUGGUCGAGUCGGCCUGCGCGGAAGAUGUAACGGGGCUAAACCAUGCACCGAAGCUGCGGCAGCGACGCUUAUGCGUUGUUGGGUAGGGGAGCGUUCUGUAAGCCUGUGAAGGUGUGCUGUGAGGCAUGCUGGAGGUAUCAGAAGUGCGAAUGCUGACAUAAGUAACGAUAAAGCGGGUGAAAAGCCCGCUCGCCGGAAGACCAAGGGUUCCUGUCCAACGUUAAUCGGGGCAGGGUGAGUCGACCCCUAAGGCGAGGCCGAAAGGCGUAGUCGAUGGGAAACAGGUUAAUAUUCCUGUACUUGGUGUUACUGCGAAGGGGGGACGGAGAAGGCUAUGUUGGCCGGGCGACGGUUGUCCCGGUUUAAGCGUGUAGGCUGGUUUUCCAGGCAAAUCCGGAAAAUCAAGGCUGAGGCGUGAUGACGAGGCACUACGGUGCUGAAGCAACAAAUGCCCUGCUUCCAGGAAAAGCCUCUAAGCAUCAGGUAACAUCAAAUCGUACCCCAAACCGACACAGGUGGUCAGGUAGAGAAUACCAAGGCGCUUGAGAGAACUCGGGUGAAGGAACUAGGCAAAAUGGUGCCGUAACUUCGGGAGAAGGCACGCUGAUAUGUAGGUGAAGUCCCUCGCGGAUGGAGCUGAAAUCAGUCGAAGAUACCAGCUGGCUGCAACUGUUUAUUAAAAACACAGCACUGUGCAAACACGAAAGUGGACGUAUACGGUGUGACGCCUGCCCGGUGCCGGAAGGUUAAUUGAUGGGGUUAGCGGUAACGCGAAGCUCUUGAUCGAAGCCCCGGUAAACGGCGGCCGUAACUAUAACGGUCCUAAGGUAGCGAAAUUCCUUGUCGGGUAAGUUCCGACCUGCACGAAUGGCGUAAUGAUGGCCAGGCUGUCUCCACCCGAGACUCAGUGAAAUUGAACUCGCUGUGAAGAUGCAGUGUACCCGCGGCAAGACGGAAAGACCCCGUGAACCUUUACUAUAGCUUGACACUGAACAUUGAGCCUUGAUGUGUAGGAUAGGUGGGAGGCUUUGAAGUGUGGACGCCAGUCUGCAUGGAGCCGACCUUGAAAUACCACCCUUUAAUGUUUGAUGUUCUAACGUUGACCCGUGAUCCGGGUUGCGGACAGUGUCUGGUGGGUAGUUUGACUGGGGCGGUCUCCUCCUAAAGAGUAACGGAGGAGCACGAAGGUUGGCUAAUCCUGGUCGGACAUCAGGAGGUUAGUGCAAUGGCAUAAGCCAGCUUGACUGCGAGCGUGACGGCGCGAGCAGGUGCGAAAGCAGGUCAUAGUGAUCCGGUGGUUCUGAAUGGAAGGGCCAUCGCUCAACGGAUAAAAGGUACUCCGGGGAUAACAGGCUGAUACCGCCCAAGAGUUCAUAUCGACGGCGGUGUUUGGCACCUCGAUGUCGGCUCAUCACAUCCUGGGGCUGAAGUAGGUCCCAAGGGUAUGGCUGUUCGCCAUUUAAAGUGGUACGCGAGCUGGGUUUAGAACGUCGUGAGACAGUUCGGUCCCUAUCUGCCGUGGGCGCUGGAGAACUGAGGGGGGCUGCUCCUAGUACGAGAGGACCGGAGUGGACGCAUCACUGGUGUUCGGGUUGUCAUGCCAAUGGCACUGCCCGGUAGCUAAAUGCGGAAGAGAUAAGUGCUGAAAGCAUCUAAGCACGAAACUUGCCCCGAGAUGAGUUCUCCCUGACCCUUUAAGGGUCCUGAAGGAACGUUGAAGACGACGACGUUGAUAGGCCGGGUGUGUAAGCGCAGCGAUGCGUUGAGCUAACCGGUACUAAUGAACCGUGAGGCUUAACCUU
rnacentral:rRNA from 1 species